rnacentral:rRNA from 1 species
UACGAAGGGGGCUAGCGUUGCUCGGAAUGACUGGGCGUAAAGGGCGCGUAGGCGGAUGGCACAGUCAGAUGUGAAAUUCCCGGGGCUUAACCUGGGGGCUGCAUUUGAUACGUGUGGGCUUGAGUGAGGAAGAGGGUUGUGGAAUUCCCAGUGUAGAGGUGAAAUUCGUAGAUAUCGGGAGGAACACCAGUGGCGAAGGGCGGCGACCUGGGCCAAUACUGACGCUGAGGUGGCGAAAGCGUGGGGAGCAAAC